rnacentral:lncRNA from 1 species
UGUGUAGCCAAUAUCAGCCACCACUAAGUUAAACCACGAGCCGGAGUCAUAUCUUCGGCAAGAGCCAUAUCGAAAAAUUCACUCUCGUGGACACGCGAGAAC